GCCGUCAUAGCUCAGUGGUAGAGCGCAUCCUUGGUAAGGAUGAGGUCCCGAGUUCAACUCUCGGUGACGGCU
rnacentral:tRNA from 1 species